UNCAAGACAGGGUCUUUCUCAUAGGUGAUG
rnacentral:piRNA from 1 species